GUCGGAGCCGAUGAUGUGUCAGAUUUUCAUCCGAGUGAAAUCGUCGUGAAGAUAAAAACACAAACUUUCUCCAUAAACACACAUGAUUACGCACAUAAACACACACACUGAAUGAUAAGCAGGUGUGUGUGUGUGUGGAUGACAUCAUGUCUGAGCUGUGGACGUACUCUUCUUCCUCUCCCAUCAUGCAUCACUCCUCUGUGUCACAGUCGUCACCUUUCAGCUCCUCACCUCCUCCAGUCUUCUCCUCUUCUUCCUCACUCAGGAAUCAUGGGAACUCUCUUCAUGACAAGAUGACCUCACAUCACCUCCCUCAUCUUCAGACUCAGCUCACUUCCUCCCACUACCUCCCCCAUCCCCAAGUCACCUCCCCUCACCUCCCCCAUCACCAGGUCACCUCCCCUC